CCUACGGGUGGCAGCAGUAGGGAAUUUUCGGCAAUGGGGGGAACCCUGACCGAGCAACGCCGCGUGAGCGAAGAAGUUAUUCGUAAUGUAAAGUUCUUUUAACAGGGAAGAAAGAGAAAUUUGACGGUACCUGAAGAAUAAGCUCCGGCUAACUACGUGCAAGCAGCCGCGGUAAUACGUAGGGAGCGAGCGUUAUGCGGAAUUAUUGGGCGUAAAGGGUGCGUAGAUGGAAUAGUAAGUCUUUGGUAAAAAUGCGGGGCUCAACCCAGUAGGGCAAAAGAUACUGGAACGCUAGAGUGUGACAGAGGCAAGUGGAACUAGUGGUGUAGCGGUAAAAUGCGUAAAUAUAUGUAAGAACACCAGUGGCGAAGGCGGCUUGCUGGGUCGAUACUGACAUUGAGGCACGAAAGCGUGGGGAGCAAACAGGAUUAGAUACCCUUGUAGUC
rnacentral:rRNA from 1 species